CUGGGGAGUAUGCUCGCAAGGGUGAAACUCAAAGGGAAUUGACGGGGGCCCGCACAAGCGGUGGAGCAUGUGGUGUAAUUCGAUGAUACGCGAGGAACCUUACCAGGGCUUGACAUCUACGUGACAGCGGUAGAGAUACCGUUUCCAUUCGGGGCAGGUAGACAGGUGCUGCAUGGCUGUCGUCAGCUCGUGCAGUGAGGUGUUGGGUUAAGUCCCGCAACGAGCGCAACCCCUGCUGUCUCUUGCUAUCAGGUAAAGCUGACGACUCAGACGGAACUGCCGGUGACAAACCUCCGCGAAGGUGGGGACGACGUCAAGUCAUCAUGGCCAUUAUGUCAUGGGCUACACACGUGCUACAAUGGCCGGUACAGAGCGAAGCGAAACCGCGAGNUGAGCAAAUCGCCGAAGCACGGUCACAGUUCGGAUCGGAGUCUGAACCCGACUCCGUGAAGGUGGAUCGCUAGUAUCGCGCAUCAGCACUCCUGUGGUGAUACGUGCCCNGGCAUNGACACACCGCC
rnacentral:rRNA from 1 species